rnacentral:rRNA from 1 species
ACAUAUUUUAAUUUUUAAUCAUUUUAUUAAAUUAAAUAAAAUUACAUUUAAAUCCAAUUUCAAUUAAAUUUUUCAAUUUAAUAUUCACAUAAAUAAAUUUAUUGUAAUCCAUUAUAUUCUUAAUUAUAAUCUGCAUCUUGAUCUGAUUUAAUUUUUAUUUUAAAUUUUAAAAUAUUAAAUUUAUUUAAAAAUAUUUUUUUAACAACGAUAUACAAAAUUAUAAAUUAAGUAAAAUUAUUCGUGGAUUAUCAAUUAAUAAACAGAUUCCUCUAAAUGAACUAAAAUACCGCCAAAUUAUUUAAGUUUCAAUAAAUAAUUAUUUACUAUUUUAGUAUUUUUAA